UGGGGAAUAUUGCACAAUGGGGGAAACCCUGAUGCAGCGACGCCGCGUGAGCGAAGAAGGUUUUCGAAUCGUAAAGCUCUGUCCUAUGAGAAGAUAAUGACGGUAUCAUAGGAGGAAGCCCCGGCUAAAUACGUGCCAGCAGCCGCGGUAAUACGUAUGGGGCGAGCGUUGUCCGGAAUUAUUGGGCGUAAAGGGUACGUAGGCGGUCUAUUAAGUCAGGUGUGAAAGCGUGGAGCUUAACUCCAUUAAGCACUUGAAACUGAAAGACUUGAGUGAAGGAGAGGAAAGUGGAAUUCCUAGUGUAGCGGUGAAAUGCGUAGAUAUUAGGAGGAAUACCGGUGGCGAAGGCGACUUUCUGGACUUUUACUGACGCUCAGGUACGAAAGCGUGGGGAGCAAACAGG
rnacentral:rRNA from 1 species